GAGUUUGAUCGUGGCUCAGAUUGAACGCUGGCGGAAUGCUUUACACAUGCAAGUCGAACGGCAGCACGGGGGCAACCCUGGUGGCGAGUGGCGAACGGGUGAGUAAUACAUCGGAACGUGCCCAGUCGUGGGGGAUAACGUAGCGAAAGCUACGCUAAUACCGCAUACGAACUCAGGUUGAAAGCGGGGGAUCGCAAGACCUCGCGCGAUUGGAGCGGCCGAUGGCAGAUUAGGUAGUUGGUGGGGUAAAGGCCUACCAAGCCGACGAUCUGUAGCUGGUCUGAGAGGACGACCAGCCACACUGGGACUGAGACACGGCCCAGACUCCUACGGGAGGCAGCAGUGGGGAAUUUUGGACAAUGGGGGCAACCCUGAUCCAGCCAUGCCGCGUGCGGGAAGAAGGCC
rnacentral:rRNA from 1 species